UACGUAGGGUGCAAGCGUUAAUCGGAAUUACUGGGCGUAAAGCGUGCGCAGGCGGUUAUGUAAGACAGAUGUGAAAUGCCCGGGCUUAACCUGGGAACUGCAUUUGUGACUGCAUGGCUAGAGUUUGGCAGAGGGGGGUAGAAUUCCACGUGUAGCAGUGAAAUGCGUAGAGAUGUGGAGGAACACCGAUGGCGAAGGCAGCCCCCUGGGCCAACACUGACGCUCAGGCACGAAAGCGUGGGGAGCAAACAGG
rnacentral:rRNA from 1 species